rnacentral:rRNA from 1 species
ANUACGUGCCAGCAGCCGCGGUAAUACGUAGNUCCCGAGCGUUGUCCGGAUUUAUUGGGCGUAAAGGGAGCGCAGGCGGUUUAGUAAGUCUGAAGUUAAAGGCAUUGGCUCAANCCAAUGUAUGCUUUGGAAACUGUUAGACUUGAGUGCAGAAGGGGAGAGUGGAAUUCCAUGUGUAGCGGUGAAAUGCGUAGAUAUGUGGAGGAACACCGGUGGCGAAAGCGGCUCUCUGGUCUGUCACUGACGCUGAGGCUCGAAAGCGUGGGUAGCGAACAGGAUUAGAUACCCUGGUAGUCCACGCCGUAAACGCUGAGUGCUAGGUGUUAGGUCCUUUCCGGGACUUAGUGCCGACGCUAACGCAUUAAGCACUCCGCCUGGGGAGUACGACCGCAAGGUUGAAACUCAAAGGAAUUGACGGGGGCCCGCACAAGCGGUGGAGCAUGUGGUUUAAUUCGAAGCAACGCGAAGAACCUUACCAGGUCUUGACAUCCCGAUGCCCGCUCUAGAGAUAGAGUUUUUCUUCGGAACAUCGGAGACAGGUGGUGCAUGGUUGUCGUCAGCUCGUGUCGUGAGAUGUUGGGUUAAGUCCCGCAACGAGCGCAACCCUUAUUGUUAGUUGCCAUCAUUAAGUUGGGCACUCUAGCGAGACUGCCGGUAAUAAACCGGAGGAAGGUGGGGAUGACGUCAAAUCAUCAUGCCCCUUAUGACCUGGGCUACACACGUGCUACAAUGGUUGGUACAACGAGUCGCAAGCCGGUGACGGCAAGCUAAUCUCUGAAAGCCAAUCUCAGUUCGGAUUGUAGGCUGCAACUCGCCUACAUGAAGUCGGAAUCGCUAGUAAUCGCGGAUCAGCACGCCGCGGUGAAUACGUUCCCGGGCCUUGUACACACCGCCCGUCACACCACGAGAGUUUGUAACACCCAAA